rnacentral:lncRNA from 1 species
GUCAGGCAAGUACCAAUGCAACUUUUCUAAGUUUGUAUGUACUCUCUCAGUAUAUCUUAGACACCAAUGGCUGAUAAAAAGGUGAAGGAAAACAUCUUGAGGAAACCUGGACUAUAUAGUCUGAAAUCACCAACCCGCAUUGAGCAAGCGUGGUGAUUAAUGCUCAAUCCUUCUCCGUGUGAGAGGAGGCCUGUGCCCAGCAGUGGGACGAUAAAUAGGCU